rnacentral:rRNA from 1 species
GUUUGAUCCUGGCUCAGGAUGAACGCUAGCGACAGGCCUAACACAUGCAAGUCGAGGGGCAGCAUGGAAGUAGCUUGCUACUUCUGAUGGCGACCGGCGCACGGGUGCGUAACAGGUGUGCAAUCUGUCCAUAAUCGGGGAAUAGCCCAGCGAAAGUUGGAUUAAUGCUCCAUGUGAGUUUUAGAGGCAUCUCUUUAAUUUGAAACGUAAGGAUUAUGGGUGAGCACGCUUCUGAUUAGGUAGUUGGUGAGGUAACGGCUCACCAAGCCGACGAUCAGUAGGGGUUCUGAGAGGAAGGUCCCCCACAUUGGAACUGAGACACGGUCCAAACUCCUACGGGAGGCAGCAGUGAGGAAUAUUGGUCAAUGGACGCAAGUCUGAACCAGCCAAGCCGCGUGAAGGAUGAAGGUUCUAUGGAUUGUAAACUUCUUUUGUCUGAGGGUAAAAAAGCGGACGUGUCCGUUCUUGCAAGUAUCAGACGAAUAAGCAUCGGCUAACUCCGUGCCAGCAGCCGCGGUAAUACGGAGGAUGCGAGCGUUAUCCGGAUUUAUUGGGUUUAAAGGGUGCGUAGGCGGGUUGCUAAGUCAGUGGUAAAAGCGUGUGGCUCAACCAUACCAAGCCAUUGAAACUGGCGAUCUUGAGUGCAAACGAGUAGGCGGAAUGUGACGUGUAGC